ensembl:lncRNA
GGAGCCAGAGAGGGUCCUCAGGAGAGAGUGGACCUGCUGGCCUUUUGAUCUUCACCUUCCAGCCUCCAGACUGUGACCAUAAAUUUCUGUUGUUGAAGCCUCUCCAAUUGUGUGUGGUGAUUUGUUAUGGCAGCUGUUGGAAACAGACAUUGGUUUUGUUGAACUAUUUUUCUAUUAUUUAUAAGCUUAACAUGUUCUGUGUGGAAAUAUUUUUCCCAAGGCUGACCAGUAUUCCCAGUGUGCUCCUGCCCAGCCAGUCCAAGCCUGCAUCUCUGCUCUUUGAGUCACAACUUGCCCUCUGCCUACAUCCCUAAGUGUCCACAGCCCAUCAGUCUGUGUCUCGUGGAAACGCAGUAGAGAUAGCAGCAGAUUCAAAACAUGAGCCAACAGUUAGAAGUCAUUUUUUUUUUUUUUGUCUUUUUGCUAUUUCUUGGACCGCUCCCACGGCAUAUGGAGGUUCCCAGGCUAGGGGUCCAAUCGCAGCUGUAGCCACCAGCCUACGCCAGAGCCACAGCAACUUGGGAUCCGAGCCACGUCUGCAACCUACACCACAGCUCAUGACAACGCCGGAUCGUUAACCCAUCCAGCAAGGGCAGGGACCGAACCCGCAACCUCAUGGUUCCCAGUCAGAUUCGUUAACCACUGCGCAAUGAUGGGAACUCAGAAGUCAUUGAUAUGAGUUUGCUGCAAAUUCAAACAUGAAUAUCACCCUAUCAGUUACACCAGAAGACAAGUGCACUGCCCUUUUGGAAAAGGACUGGGGAAUGUCCUUGGGCAAAAGGGGCUUUGCAGACUUUAGAACAAAAGCCCUUGGGGCUUGAGUCCCAGAGUAGUGGGAGGGGAGGAGGGAACGAAAAGGAAACAGGCUUAAAAGCUUAACUUUAUCUCAGUUACACUAAGGUGUAGACCUAAUUGCCAGAAGACAAGAAGCUUAACUAUAUGUUUUAAUCUCCUCUGUUCCUCUUUUCUUGCAGAUAAUCCUCUUGCAUCUCUUUCCCCACCCAGAGGCACGCCCUAGUCCUGAUGGUCACCAUGCAGUUUCAAACUGCUGAUCAAAGAUGGAUUUCUGGAAAUUAUCAGUGAUCAUGAGACAAAAUUCCCUUUCUGCUCUUAUUAAAGCAGCUCCCCCCUUCUACUCAGGCGCCCCUUCCACUUAGGGAGUUGGCCCUUUUCUCCCCACCUUCUCCCUGUGCACAAGCUAUCACUUUUCAGAAAGCUUUGCUUGCCCAAGAGACUUAUGGAAGGGUAUUCACUUCUCUCACUCCUCUAGGAUUCCUGUCCAAGAAUCUAGAAAGGGCCCAGUAACAAUUUCACUAGGGAAGGAGGCUAUCUGAUGAUGAAGAAUUUAACUGAUAGUUAUUUUAAGUGGCAAGCAUGGUAUUCUUGACAUCUUCAUUUUAAAAAAUGAACUUUAAGGCGAUACAUGAGGAAAUGUUUAAAAAUGAAAUCUUCAGAUGCCUAGAGAAUUAUUUCAAAUUAAUUGUACAGGGGGGUGCUUGUGGGCUCUUGGUAAAGAAGGUUGGAAAUAAAUUAUAGUUACAUGAGUACAGAAAGCCUUAGUACGUGGGGAGAUUUAUUAUGGUAGUCUCCCUCCAAUCUUGGCUAAGUGACCCAUUCUGUAACGAAAGCUGUUUCUCCUAAAGCAAUUCAGAAAUUUAGCUUCAGUCUUUUACUCACUUGCCCACACCAGCCAAGCCAACUUCUCUCCCCUGCUUCUUUGAGUUACCCUCCCUCUCAGAGACCUCGGUUCCUGGCGGUUCUUCUCUCUUCUUCCUCACAGCUGAUCCUACUCUGCCUGCAUCUCCUCCCAUUCAACCCCCCACAUUCCCAAGCCUACUCCUCUAACCCCCAGAAACCUCCCAGAUUGAGACUGAGGGGAGAUGGAGGCAGGCGAAGGGGCCAUCUGCUUGGAUGCUGUGAGGGCCAGCAUCCAGGCGGAACCUCAGGUCACCCGUGGCCUCCAGGGCUGGUUCCUUGACCCCACACCCCUUCGGGGACACAUGGAGGAAGGCUCACUGUCCUCUUUCCUGGCUUUUGUGUGUGGGCAUAAAUAUAAAUACAAGCAGACCUCCUGGAAUAGUUUGAUUUUGAACAAUAAGGAAUUGGUGUCACCCAGAAUUCCAGGGUGUUUACAUCUCUCAUCCUUAUUUGGGCGGAUUAAUUCUAGAUUUCCUAUUUCCAACACCAUCCUCAAAACUACAUGAAGAAUUACAUUGAAGUUCCUGAAAAUACUUAAAAUCUUGUGUGAUGUGAUGAUCACUAAAACAAAUUCUACACAGUUGACUACACAUAAAAAGAAAAAUGUCUAUAUAUACGUCCAUAUUAAAAAGCCACCAAAAGCCAGCAAAUUACUAUUUUCCAUAAGGUAACCAACAUUCAUGUACAUAAAAACUUAACUAGGAAGUCCAAAUAUUGAGAAGAAAAUGGAACAUCAGCGAGCAUGUUGCCUGGCAUACAGAAGGUUCCCCUCCCCUGACCCAGGAGCCUGUGGGACUAUCCCACACCUCUGGCAUGUGUGGUCCAGCUAAGAGGAGGAUGUCAGGUAACUUCUAUACCUACAGCUGGUGUUUCCCAUCCCCUGCUGCAUCCUUCUCUGAACCCAUGGAAAUUGUCCACUCUGCCAGCCAAGUGAUUCCAAUUAGCACCUCCAUCCCUUUUGGACCUCCUAGACUACAACGGCUUACCCAUCUGCCUCUACCUUGGGGGCACCCACCUUACCUGCACUUACUUCUUGAUCUUGGCUCUGUGCUGGGGGAGCUGCUCUGUAUGCUCAAGGCCUGGUGGAACUCGAGCUCUCUGACCUUGACUCUGGGCCCCUCAAUUCCUCAAAGACAUAAAAAGAAAAAUGUUCUUUUUCCAGGGUUCCAGGUAGGAAAACUUGACACAGGCCACCUUUUCUGUUCAUUGCAGGGAUCAAAAUCUGGUCCCUUGGCCUUAUAAGCCUGGAGGAUGUUUCCUUUCCUUCUUCCCAUUGGGCAGACUGAAGAGGCAAUCAGCCCAAGGAGAUGACAGGCUGCUGCUGAUGCCUCCCUUCUUCCUCCCUGAUGGCAUCUUCUGUCCAGGGGCAGAAGACACUCCCAUCUUAAUCCUCCCUCUCAAAUUCCAUCAGUGAACUCAUUUUUGGCUAUAUUGAAUAUUUUAUGUCAAGUUUUCAUUUUGUUUUUCUCAAGUAAAAUUGUUGAAUAGUCUUGGUCUCUCCUUAAUGAUUAUUUGAACUCCAUCUUCCCCUUAAAAAAGAUAUUUCUGGAGUCUUUCCUGUUUCCGGUUUCUGGAUUUCUAAAAGUUCUCAAAGCUUUCGGUUCUCAACCUUGCAGGCCCUCAGGCAGCAAACAAGCAGCUCCUAUUCCUCAGGAAGUUGAGGCUUCAAGGGGGUGUUGGAGGGGUGGAGGAGGGGCUGUGACAGGGCAGCACCAGGACUCCAGGUGGGGCAGGUGGAUAAAGUGAAUCAGAAGUUUGCCUUGGAGAGGC